rnacentral:rRNA from 1 species
GACGAACGCUGGCGGCGUGCUUACACAUGCAAGUCGAACGGAAAGGCCUGCUUUCCCUUGUGGAUUGCGGGUACUCGAGUGGCGAACGGGUGAGUAACACGUGAGUGAUCUGCCCCCAACUUGGGUAUAAGCCUGGGAAACUGGGUCUAAUUCCCGAUAGGACUGCAGGGGGGUGGCUGUGGUUGGAAACGAUUUUCUAGUGGGUGGGGGUGAGCUCGCGGCCUAUCAGCUUGUUGGUGGGGGAAUGGCCUACCAAGGCGGCGACGGGUAGCCGGCCUGAGAGGGUGGACGGCCACAUUGGGACUGAGAUACGGCCCAGACGCCUACGGGAGGCAGCAGUGGGGAAUAUUGCGCAAUGGGCGGAAGCCUGAUGCAGCGACGCCGCGUGGGGGAUGACGGCCUUCGGGUUGUAAACUCCUUUCGACCGCGAGGAAGCCACCUGGUUGGAAGGGUGGUGACGGUAGUGGUAGAAGAAGCACCGGCUAACUACGUG